AAUUAAUGAACUUGUUAUAAGUGUAUAUUUUGAAAAUAUAAAAAAGAAGUACAAUCUUCUAUUAAUUU
rnacentral:tRNA from 1 species